rnacentral:rRNA from 1 species
GAGCGGUAGAGAGAAGCUUGCUUCUCUUGAGAGCGGCGGACGGGUGAGUAAUGCCUAGGAAUCUGCCUGGUAGUGGGGGAUAACGUUCGGAAACGGACGCUAAUACCGCAUACGUCCUACGGGAGAAAGCAGGGGACCUUAGGGCCUUGCGCUAUCAGAUGAGCCUAGGUCGGAUUAGCUAGUUGGUGGGGUAAUGGCUCACCAAGGCGACGAUCCGUAACUGGUCUGAGAGGAUGAUCAGUCACACUGGAACUGAGACACGGUCCAGACUCCUACGGGAGGCAGCAGUGGGGAAUAUUGGACAAUGGGCGAAAGCCUGAUCCAGCCAUGCCGCGUGUGUGAAGAAGGUCUUCGGAUUGUAAAGCACUUUAAGUUGGGAGGAAGGGUUGUAGAUUAAUACUCUGCAAUUUUGACGUUACCGACAGAAUAAGCACCGGCUAACUCUGUG